rnacentral:lncRNA from 1 species
AGAUAUAUGGUGCACAAAUAAUAAAAGAAAUAGAGGAAUAUUUUAAUAUUAACAUAUUAUUUUACAUUGAAAUUGAUAUAAAUAGUAGCACAUUUCAAACAAAAUGCAUAUGAGAUUAAUGGAGUAUUGAAGAAAACAAUAUUAAAGCAACAACCACCAAAAAAAUUGUUGCAUGAACUUGAUCCAUGAAAGCGUCCAAAUAGAAGAAUCUAUUACAGGAAGGAAUUGGUACAGCGUGGCUAUCUGCAUUCCCAUUUGAUCAUUGCCACACUUGCAUCUUCAUUUUGUGGUCUCUAUCUUUUAUCCUCAUCAUAGUUGUUAACAACACAUUUUUCUUUUACUCAACACACAACACAUCUUUUAAUACACUUUUUUCC